GGUUGGACAUAGUACGGCGUGAUAAGUGUCUUCGCCGGCACCUCGCAAGAGGGUGACUGAUCAGGAGCUCUGUGCUUCAAACCGUCUUCGGACAAUCAUCUGACAACUUGACCUCAAAUCGAGUAGGACUACCCGCUGAACUUAAGCAUAUCAAUAAGCGGAGGAAAAGAAACUAACAAGGAUUCCCCUAGUAACGGCGAGUGAAGAGGGAAGAGCUCAAAUUUUGAAUCUGGCACCUUUGGUGUCCGAAUUGUAAUCUAGAGAAGUGUUUUCUGUGAUGGACCAUGCAUAAGUCUCCUGGGAUGGAGCGUCAUAGAGGGUGAGAAUCCCGUAUAUGGCAUGGACUCCCGUUGCUCUGUGAUACACUCUCGACGAGUCGAGUUGUUUGGGAAUGCAGCUCCAAAUGGGUGGUAAAUGCCAUCUAAAGCUAAAUAUUGGCGAGAGACCGAUAGCGAACAAGUACCGUGAGGGAAAGAUGAAAAGCACUUUGGAAAGAGAGUGAAACAGUACGUGAAAUUGUUGAAAGGGAAACGCUUGAAGUCAGUCACACCGUUCGGGAUUCAGCCUUGCUUCUGCUCGGUUUACUUCCUGUUGGGUGGGUCAACAUCAGUUUUGGUCAGAGGAGAAAUGCUUGGGGAAUGUGGCAGCAUUCGUGCUGUGUUAUAGCCCCUUGUUGUAUACUUUGACUGGGACUGAGGACCGCAGCACGCCUUUGGCCGGGGUUCGCCCACGUACGUGCUUAGGAUGUUGGCAUAAUGGUUUUAAGCGACCCGU
rnacentral:rRNA from 1 species